rnacentral:lncRNA from 1 species
CUGCUUCCUCUUUGGGACUGGGAGCUAUAAGGACCAUCAAGCCUGGAGCUGCCAUUGGCAACUUCAUCCUGCCUCCCGGGGAGAGCCUGCAUGAGAAUGCCAGGCAGAUGUUAAAAAUGGCAUUGCAGGAAAAUAUUUAAUGAUCUGGAGAGAUGUCCAUGAUACCUCCUUGCAUUCAAAAAAAACAAGCUACAAAACAGUACAUACCCUAUUAAUUGCUAUAUCUCUGCUCAUAUCUAUUCAUGUGCAAAUAACAAAAUGGAUGAUAGAUGCCAAGAUAUUAACAGUGGUUCUCUCUGUACCCCAGGCCCUGCCUACCCAGUUGGUGCCGAUGGCCACAGCCAUCAUGCCCGGUGUGAGUAGUCACCUGACCCCAGCUGGCUCAUCAGAUCAUCGCACACAGGAAUGUGACACAAGAGAAGAAGGAACUGGGUGAGAAUGAACUGAAAGGGCAGCAGGGUGGAGCAGCCAGGCCGGGCUGUGGAAAGGCAGAGAAAGCCAGAGGAGAAAGCAGACGGAGAGGAACUUCGACGUCUGGGAUUUGCUUCAAAAUAACCCACUGGGGCGGGUGUCGAUGAAACAGAAUUGGAUGAGCUGAUCACUUUCGAAGCUGGGCAUUGGUACGUAGCGGCAAGUAGGAACCUGGCCAGAGCUGAGGAGUGAGCCGACAACAGAUGUGAAGGUGCAGGCAGUGAGCCCCGAGACACACACAUAAGGAGCCCGGAAGCCCUCCCUGUGGCCCCACCGCCAACCACGCUCCCUCCCCACCCCUCUCCCUGUUGACUCCCAUGUCGUCCAAGAACCCUCGGCUCUGAGUAAUAAAUGUGCCUCUCGGCGGGACAUGUGUUUCCAA